rfam:Oryza sativa (indica cultivar-group) chromosome 2, whole genome shotgun sequence.
AAAAAAGACAACCCUUGAUUUCCAUAUCCAACGUUUGACUGUCCGUUUUAUAUGAAUUUUUUUUAUAAUUAGUAUUUUCAUUGUUAUUAGAUGAUAAAAUAUGACUUAUCUUUUUAAUUUUUUUAUAUUUUUUUCAAAUAAGACGGACGGUCAAACAUUGGACAUGGAAACCUAACCUAAG